GAAUGUUCUUUGACGAUUGCCGGAGCUGAAAGUUGACCAAGUGUCAGCACAAGUUCUGGAGGAAAGUCCGAGCACCAUCGGAACGCUUAGCAGGUAACGCCUGCCGGUCUCAUAGCAAUAUGGGGCAAGGGAAAGUGCCACAGAGACAAUACUAGCUCAUCAGUUUUUAAAGGCUGAAGAGUAAAAGGUGAAAAGUCCGCUUCAGGCGGAGUGAGAUUCUUGGGGACUCUGGUUUCAGGGCAACAAAAUCUUAGUGGCAAACCCUAGGUGGUGCAAGGUGGCUGGGAAGAAAGGAUACGUGUACGAAAGUGCUCCAAACGUCGGUUCCGACCGUCCUUCUCUUCUCCACUGCAUGAGCGCGCCCGCGAGGGCGCGCCUAGAUAGAUAGUCGUCUCACGGCAGCCUCAGCAAUGAAGCUUCUGUGUACAGAACUCGGCUUAUAGGGAACAUUCCAGU
rnacentral:RNase_P_RNA from 1 species